CAGCCGCCACGGUAAUACAGAGGGUGCGAGCGUUAAUCGGAUUUACUGGGCGUAAAGCGUGCGUAGGCGGCUAAUUGAGUCGGAUGUGAAAUCCCCGAGCUUAACUUGGGAAUUGCAUUCGAUACUGGUUAGCUAGAGUGUGGGAGAGGAUGGUAGAAUUCCAGGUGUAGCGGUGAAAUGCGUAGAGAUCUGGAGGAAUACCGAUGGCGAAGGCAGCCAUCUGGCCUAACACUGACGCUGAGGUACGAAAGCAUGGGGAGCAAACAGGAUUAGAUACCCCUGUAGUCCCUGUCUCUUAUAA
rnacentral:rRNA from 1 species